UAUGGACGUCCAGGUGCUGUAUACGUAGACAUAUCUGGGGACAUGGUCAAUGCUAAAUUGGACAGGAGCAGAGCCAGAGAGGUGCCCUGUAGUCCACCUCCUCCUGUGAGUAUGGCUGACCAUAUGGCGAUCACAGAAGCACUGGCGGUCCUGAAAGGAGCCAAACGGCCUUUACUCAUCAUUGGCAAAGGUGCAGCCCAUUGAAGAGCAGAGGGGGCUCUGAAGGAGCUGGUGGAGGGGUGUGACCUGCCCUUCCUGCCCACCCCCAUGGGUAAAGGGGUGCUGCCUGACGAUCACCCCAACUGUGUUGCUGCUGCCCGCUCCAGAGCUCUGCUCCAGUCUGAUGUUGUGGUCCUACUUGGUGCCAGACUCAACUGGAUCCUGCACUUUGGCCUUCCCCCCAGGUCAAUGUCAAGGUUGAUCUGUGUGCUGAGGAGAUGGGGAACAACGUGCAACCUGCUGCUGCUCUCCUGGGGGACAUCAAUACUAUUGUCAAGCAGGUAACACAACACAGUCCUGGGGGACUGGAGAUCCU